CAUCUCCCCCCCCCCCCCUUCCCAGGCAGGGCACUGUAGAAGCAGACACUUUUCAUGUGGCAGGUUUCUGGCCCGAUGAUGUAUGACCUGUUGGCGCUACUGAAUGGUGCCCUUUGUUCCAGGGUAUCCCAUGUGCCCCCUUUUUAUUGACUUGUUGAUUCAGAAGGGCAGGAAAGUUCCACAAAUCCCACUGCAGGCCUUGCUCUCUAGCCAUGUCCAGGUGGGAAAGCCCCAGGACCUCAUGCUUCCCAGAAAGCUGGUAGGAAGAUAUGGGCCGCUUAGACUCAGAAUAUCCCAUAAGAGACAGACAGCUUUCUUUACCUUGGAUUCAGGCAACUGUGUAUCUGGAGAGAGGCUGGGAACCCAUGUCUAGCUCCCAGCCCUCUGCCUGGGGUUCUAGAAGGUGUGGAGUGUUCCAGAAUGCAGUCCACCCAGAAAGAAAAGAACAGAGCAGGUGUGAGUUAGGAUGAACCCACCACUUCUCUGUGUCCUAAGCCAGGUUCAGUUAAGUUUUUCUCUGUGACCAAAAAGCCCAAGGUGGGAGCCAACAGCCAAGGAAAGAAGGAGCUCGGCUUCCUUCUGCAGGAGGAAGUCCACCCAGAGAGCAGCCCUAAAGCCACAGGAAAGGACUCUGGGGAAAUAGGAGACAAGGUGGACUUUUUAUCCAGCAGGAAAUCUCAUCUUUAUCCUGAUGAAGGGUGGACUGGAUUCAUCUCCUUUUUUGCCACUCCAUCUUGUGAGCAAGCUUUAGGGAUCUGGUUGAGGAGGAGGAUGCAGAGGUCUCUGCCAGGCCUUGAAUCCUUUCUCUAGGGUGCAGGUGGCUGAUGAGCUCAUACAUCUGACUGCUCUGGAAAGCCUCAGGUUCUCACUCCAACCUGCUCUUCAGUUCCUCAUCUGAAGAAGCUGCACAGAUCCCACCGAGAAUUCCCUACGUGUAAGACCACCUCCUCCAAACCACCAGGUUGUGUGCUGACUACUGAAAUGUGACAGAUUCUUGUGUACUGCCUGCCUUGCCCUUCUGGGGUCUUUGUGGACCCUAAAAUCCAGACCCAUCAUCUGCAGAGUAGCACGAGAUCAAAGAUACAGCUGUUCCAUUGGUCCUAAAUUCCUUCACUCUAGGCUCAGAGGCUCCAUAGUGUAAAUGCUCAGAGGCACAGAAGAAAUACCAGCAAAAGGGAGGAUGAGACCAUUGCUGAGCCAAGAAAUGACAAGUCAGUAGUAAAGAGCAUCCACACACUUCACAGUUGUAAAAUGGCUUUAUGUUCUGAUAUGUAAAAUAAAAUGUCCAUGCUAUAUAACAAAACACUUGAAGUUCCAUACCCCCUGUUGGCUAAUGUGUCUUUCUAAUAAAGUUUAAUCUGUGGUGUGUA